AAAGAAGCCUAGGCUCCACGGAGACGAUCUUGUUAGACGUGUCAAAGGCUUACCUCGUGGGAAAACCUAGGGCCUGGAUGCCCCCAGGAAGGACUGGAGGGACACAGACAAGAAGCAGGUUUCUGCACCUUUCCUUCUGACGUCCCACACCCCUCCCAAUCCCUGCCUACAGUCUGCUUCCAGAGCCCUCGUUCCGGCACGGGGAGCAGGUAAGGGUGCAGAGCCCAGCAGGCUCCACUUCAGCCUUCCCGUGGACCACUGGUGGGCGCGGUAAACCUGUCCUCUGACGUAGGGUCAUAGACACCCUUGGGAUUAGCUCCAUGUUAAGUCAUUUUCCAAACCAGCUCUCUUCUGGGAAAGAAGCUGUAGCCGUCACGGUUCAGGUGUUUGUCAAACAUGUUUCUUCCACUCACCGGUCCUCCUUCGGAGCAGAAUCCUGCUUUUGUUGAGAUUUCUAUCCUCCUCGAUACAUGGUUCAGGGGAGACUCCAGCCACAGCUUGGACCCUGACCCGAGGAGAGAUCCUGAGAGCCGCCUCCCUCCUCCGCCUUCCCCGACCAGUGCGGCCGCCCUCGGAUCCCUUUUGUGCCUUCUCGUCCCGCCUCAGUAUCUUCAGAGUCUUCGCUCGUGUUCAAAACCGGACACUGAUUCAGCUGGCCCGUGGACAAUGGGGCCCGAUUAAGACCCUCUGCAGCUGCGGGAACACAGUCAGGAAGGAGCUGGUCCUGGGCCCCGGGGCUCUGAAGAAGCUCCUCGUCACAGAGCUUCUGGAACAGCCUGCGAGAAAGGCGUGGUCCACACAGCCCCUACUCCGGGAGGAGCCCUGAAGGGCCGUGCGGUGUCCCUUCAGGGUAACGCUGGGGUCACCCAAGGGCCCCCCAGGCCUGCCCGCUGCCCCCUUCAGGCACCACCACAGCCCCGGGGCGGGCCCAUCCUCGGAGCAGGCUGUGUGCGACCAGGAACUUCUGGGCCUGGCCUGUGCCGUCCCGUUGGCCCGCCAUGCCGCCUCCCCCCGCCUCGCCCCUCGAAGCACCGUUCAAAGGCUCCUUUCCCGAAGUGUCCGUGUCCUCUCUGGUUGCAAUUCCAGGGCACGCGGCUGCAGGCUGCUGCUCAGAUACCCAGCCCCGGCUGGGAUCCAGCAGGUGUCUCCAGGACCAUCCUUCCCCCCAACGACUGUGCCACUUGCCUCAGUGGAGGACUUCCAUCUACAGAGUGCCUGUCACUUGCUGGGCGUCACGUAGGUUGUUUUAUAAAAGAAGAGCAUGUUGUUCCCGGGUCUACUUCACGAGGCUGGAAUUGUCACCCCAUUUCACAGACGAGAUUUGCCAAAUAAAGCCAGAGAUAUAGAAUCAGGGAUUAAACUCAAGUCCCGCUCUUGCGGUGACUGUGUUAUUGUCUGUUAACCUUUGGCAUUACCACCGGGUACAGGGCCUUGCACAUAAAUAACUCCCAAUAGACGCGUGAUCCUGGAGUGUUGAGAGAAAGCCAGCUGGGCGUCUCAAGUACUGUAGUCAGUGGCACAACUUUCUGGAGGGGUGUUUACACUUUAAACUGCGGAGGAUUAAGAGAAACAGGUGAAGGACUCUCUGGACUUGGUAGAAAGCGGAGCAGCUUCCCGCCGCGGCUCCUGCCCUCUUUCCUACCAGCUGCUCGGAAGGGACACGGUGAGUAUUUCCCCUUUACCCUCGCAGGAGCCGGGGGGUGGGGGGAGCCCCCGUGGGUCCCCCUGGGACACCUCGCUCUGCUCGUCGUCACCGGUGUAUUCUGGGCUCUCGUCACGCAGGACAAGAAUCUCUGCAGCUCGCACGGCUGUCCAUCCAGCCCUCCGGCCUCAGCACCAAAGGCCACCGCCUAUACAGCUGCUGCGACGCCAGCAAGGACACCUGCCGACUGUCCCCUCCUGUCUACACCCUGCUUCUCUGUGUCGUCUGGUGGCCGGAAGCCAAGAGCCCUCUCCCCACAUCGGUCAGCUCUGGGGUUCCUCCUCCGUCACACCGGGAACGGGCACAGCCCCCGGGUUUGGCCCAAGCACGCCGGCCCCUGCUGAGCCAGGAAACGCCGCCGGGCUCCCCUGAGGGCUCCAGCACCCACCGGUGAGCAUCCCCACCGCGGACGGUCCUCACCGCAUGUAAAUGUCCUCGGAGCUGCUCUGCGGAGAGCAGGGCCCGCCUCUCCAACAUCCCGCGUUCACGCCCUCAUCAGCCACGGCGUCUCUGCGUUCGCCACCAAUUCCACGAGCAGCAAUUCUGGUCUCGUCCACAGACAUUUAGUUAAGGCUCCACAUUCCAGAACUUCUGCUGAGUCACAGCUGGGAGCCUGCCAUACGGGUGUCCGUUCAGUUCUCUCAAUCUGCUUCCCUGAGUUUGGCUUCCCCUGCCCUGGCCAUCUGACCUUGACCUGACUGAUCUCAGAGGCGACGGUGGGAGCCCCGCAGGAGGCGAGGCUUCCGGGGAGGGCAGCAGCUGGGCUUCAGAAGAGCUGCUCGGCCUGCGGGGACAGGUUUCCCUGAAUGCGAGUCUCUGUCCCUCCUGGCACCACCGUGGCGGCCCGGAGGGCAUGCCUGGCCCCAAGGCCCCGCACAGCAGGAGGCAGGACAGGUUGCCGUGAGCAUCCUGGAAGCCCAGUGGCUGGCAUGUGGCCCUGGAGCUCGGCUCCCAGCCCUGCCACUCUCUCACUGGGGACUCCCUUCCGGGUUUGGAGAUCUGUGAGCAAAAUGAGAAAACACAUAAUUCUGUUCUUCUGUCCCUCUUUAUGUAAGUAUUCUUUUUCUUGGGUUCUUUUCUUGGGGGGCAGCAGGGAGCAAACCAAAGUUAAACGGAAAGAGAGCCAAAAGCAGCAACACCCAGGGCUGAAUUGUAGGCCUGAAAAAUACAAAGUUAAAAGUAUGUGCAGCCAUCUCUGUGAUGCUGUGUGAUUUUGAGUAACUUAUUCAACUUCUCUGGACCUAAGACUGCUCAUAAGAUCCAACAGUGCUGUCGUCAGGAAUAU